GCCCCACUAAUGCAUUGGUUCUUAACAUUGACUACACACUGGAAUCACCUAGGAAGCUUUAAAUAAAUGCUGACGUCCGGGCUCCACCUUCACCAAUUCUGGGGUGCACCCUGGCAUUUAGAGUUUUUUUUUCCUGAGAGAGAGAGAGAGAGCACACAAGCCAGAGGGAGGGACAGAGCGAGAGGGAGACAGAGUCUUAAGAAGGCUCCAUGCUAGGAGUGGAACUCAAUCUCAUGAUCCUGAGAUCGUGACCUUAGCUGAGAUCAUGACCUGAACUGAAAUCCAGAGGCAAACACUUAACUGACUGAGCCACCCAGGCACCCUGGGGAUUUUUUAAAGUCCUCCAAUGACUCUAAUGGCCAGCCAAGGUUGAGAAGCCACUGCAGGAGGCUUUUAAGCAGAAGGUGACGUGAUAUCAAUUUUCUUUAUGAGAGAUACACUGGCUGCCACCUAAAUUCAUGAUGCUCCCACAGUGGUGCCCAGGACAUAGUUGAUAUUUGAUGUUUUCUUCCUUCCCUCCUUUCAAUCAUUCAGAAAUUGGGAAUUGCUGAACAUUGCAGAGAGAGGCAGAGAGAGAGAGCCCAACCAGAUACCAAGAGGGAAGUAUCUCAGCGAAUCUGCCUCCAGCUAGUGACUGUUUUUUUACCUUCUUCUGUUCUUGGAGUUGUCCAUUUAUCUCCCACUUCCAGACCUGGAGCCUCACCUCCUGUUUUUCAGACCCAAACUUCACAUCGUCUUUGACAGCCCUGAGGACCCCUCCACCCAGCACUCCCCCAAGCAGAGUAGCUCCGAGGCACACUCAGAAGCAACUUGAGGCCCUCCCACGCCACUCCGGGGCAGCAGGAAGUGUGUGGAGAGCCUCAUGCCCUUUCUGCGUUGCUGCCACCAAGCCAGCAUUCCUACGCUCUGGCUGUCACAGCGUGCCAGCACCCCCGAAAGAUGGAGAAUGCAAGCAGGAGUCGCAUCUGCUAGUUCACAGCUCUCUCCUUGGCUCCUACAACAGUGCCUGGUGUCUGGCUGGCCCCCAGAUAUACCCAUGUUGUUGCUUGUGGCUGUGGCCUUUCUGUUCAUGAUGCCAGGCAAGGCUCAGAAAACUCCCUGCCCUUGGGCCAAAUCCUGCCUACCGCCUGUUCUGCAAAGUACUUUGUAUGAGAGACCCGCAUGACACUGAAAGGAAAGACGUUGAAGAGGAGAUGGUACCAUGUGAAGUCAUUGCUGCUGUCAAACCCAGAAGGUUCGAUCGUCUGGUAAUAAGGCUUGCCCGAAGGAAGUAAUCCAAGUGGUUCUCGAUGUUAGUUAAUGACUGUUGGCACCCUUUUCCUUUUCACAAUCGUAUGGACACAUUUAUGCAGCAAGAGAAGCAAGGUCAAAAAUCUACCCACGCUCUGCCUCAUUUAGGAUGCUUUUGCCUGCAAAUAACAUAUCCAUCUCAAAUAGCUUUAACUUGGGGGAUUUAUUCUCUCACAUACCAAGAAGGAUGGAGGUAGGGUGGGCAUUCCAGGAGUCAAAGGGCAUCAUCAAGGACCCAGGUUCCUUCUAGCUUCUUAUCCUCCCUCUGCAGUGAGUCUGCUAGUCCUCAGCUAACCAUCUCCCACCCCCCAACCACCACCACCACCCCACCUCCUGCCCUGGUCCCAAGUUGCCUGCCAUGAUCAUAGUCAUUACCGGCACCAGAAUGGAGACUUUCCCGUAUGUCUCUCCUUUUCAAUGAGGAAAAUCUCCCCAGAUGCACCCCAGUGGGUGUCUUGAUGUUUCAUGGCCAUAAGGACUGUACACGCCCACGCCUAAACCAAGCACUGACAAGGAAUGGGGCACAGUGGCCAGUUUGGACUAACCAGGAUUUGCCUCUGAGUCUUGGGGGAGACACCCACUUUGCCUAUACAAGUGACUGUACAGAAAGAAGGAGGACCCUUAAAAUUGGGAUGACCAACAGCACAUGCUGCAGGCUACAACUCUGUGUGCAAAACAUGAGCUUUCUCAUUUGUCUGUAAAUAUCUUGCUCAUGAGUGCCCAUCCCACCGAUGGCAAAGGUGGGAAAAUCUUAACUUCCAAUUAAGGUAACUCGGUCACUGUUUGGAGCAGUCCUCUCAAGGCUCAAUUUCUUUUGGAUAAAUAUUUAAUCCAUUUUAUGGGUCAGAUUGGCUCCCAGGGCUAUCUUUCUAUUCUCCAGGGUUAAUUCCUCAUUCUCCCUGUCGAGACACCAUCCAGGUACCUGGACAGCCUUUCUUCUGAUGAUGGGGGUUGGGGAGGAAGGAGGUCCUCAUGCUCCUAAUACUGGCUCUGAGAUCUUCACUGCCCUCCACAGAGAUGUCCUGCAUCAUCACUGACACUUCUUCAGGCCUCUCUACUGCUGAUUACCAAGUCAGUGGAGCUCACGGUCAGUCCUUCUACUUGGGUAUAUGCCUGGGUGGCUAGACAUGACCCACCUUAGUUUCCUGCUGGCUCUGCGGAUCCCUCUGGGACUUGGUUGUGACUUCAAUUCAGUCUCCCUGGCCUGGGUAAUCCAUCCUGCAGCUCUUGGCUACAGGAUCACUUUGACCUUGUAAUAAAAGGACAGCUAACACAUUCAAUUGCUUUCCUUGUCCUUUCAGUGAUGGUGAAGGGGGAGCUAGGAAAUUGUCAGAGACUCAAGACAUUGGCACAGACCCUCUCUGCAUGAGCACAUGACACCACCAAUGGUAAUGCAGCCCCCCCCCCAGGUUGGUGCAGAGCUCCUUAUGACUUACCGUUAUC